rnacentral:rRNA from 1 species
AACGAACGCUGGCGGCAGGCCUAACACAUGCAAGUCGAACGAGAUCUUCGGAUCUAGUGGCGGACGGGUGAGUAACGCGUGGGAACGUGCCCUUCUCUACGGAAUAGUCCUGGGAAACUGGGUUUAAUACCGUAUACGCCCUUCGGGGGAAAGAAUUUCGGGGAAGGAUCGGCCCGCGUUGGAUUAGGUAGUUGGUGGGGUAAUGGCCUACCAAGCCGACGAUCCAUAGCUGGUUUGAGAGGAUGAUCAGCCACACUGGGACUGAGACACGGCCCAGACUCCUACGGGAGGCAGCAGUGGGGAAUCUUAGACAAUGGGCGAGAGCCUGACCCAGCCACGCCGCGUGAACGAAGAAGGUUUUUGGAUUGUAAAGUUCUUUUCUACGGGAAGAAAAAGGG